rnacentral:misc_RNA from 1 species
GUGGAAUCUCAUUUGCAUGGAAAAGACAGGAUAAAAGGGCCACUUGAUUGGGACGUGAGGUUAAAAAUUGCUCUUGGUGCUGCAAGGGGACUUGCUUACCUUCAUGAAGAUUCUAAUCCUCGUGUUAUUCAUCGUGAUUUCAAAGCCAGCAAUGUUUUGUUAGAAGAGGACUUCACCCCUAAGGUUUCAGAUUUUGGGUUAGCAAGGGAAGCAACCGAAGGAAGUGACCACGUAUCCAC